rnacentral:SRP_RNA from 1 species
GCUGAGUAUAGUGGCACACACCUGUAAUCCUUACCACCAGCGAGGCUGGGACUGGUGGGUCUCUUGAAUUUGGGAGUUCUGAGCUGCAAUGGAGCUAAAAUUUGUCAAGUAUCUGUAUUUCCCGGCAUCAGUAUAGUGAGGCCCCUAGAGCAGAGGACCACCAGGCUGCCUAAGGAGCAGCAAGCCAGCCCAGGUCAGAAAAACAGAGCAGGUUAAAGCUUCCAUGCAGAUCAGCAUUGGGAUUGGGUCAGUGAGUGGUCACUAGAAUCUAGGUGACAUAGGGAGACCCAGUCUCA